rnacentral:rRNA from 1 species
CGGGUGCCGACCUAACCCCGACGAAAGGGAGGGCACGCCCGAACCCGACGGUAGGGUCAGCGACUGGGGUG